UUCUAGCCCUGAUAGGAGCGGCAUCCUUUUACAUUUACACCCGACAAGUCAUAAUAAACUGUCGGGUGUAAAUGUAAAAGAUAGAGCGGAGAGCAGGAAAUAGC
rnacentral:sRNA from 1 species